rnacentral:tRNA from 1 species
CGUGUCGAUAGCAUAAACGCAUGAAUCCCUGUUUCGGGCAGGGAUGCUAUGGGUGGGGGUUCAAGUCCCCCCUUCGACACGU